CUGUGGGUACCAAAGUGAUGAAGUUGAAUUCAGAUUAGGAGGGAUUCUCAUUGGUGUAUGGAGGGAUUCUCAUUGGGGUUGGGGCGCUGAGGCCCAAAGUGAUGAAGUUGAAUUCAGAUUAGGAGGUACCAAAGCGAGGGAGAAGAAUAGGGGUUAACACAUGCUCACUUCAUUCAUGUUCGUUAUGUUCUGUUCUCCAUUCCACUCUCAAAACACCUCGCCGGAAAACAACAUCUCCGUCGCGCUGGAAAUCGGCUCCAACAGAGGCAGGGGGCCAACAACCACAAUCCUUACAUCAAACUCUUCGUAUUAUUCUCCCUUUUCAAUAUUCAAUCUUGAUUUCUCCUAAUCUCUAUUAAAAAAACCAAACCAAGCCAGAAUACCUCAUGAACCCUAGCUUUCAAAUCCUAUAUUAAACGAAACAAAGGAGGUAUAAAAUCCUCCAAUUUUAGGGCUUUGAUUCCUCAGAUAAAACCCUACAUGUUUGCAACAAGAACUAGGGCGAAACAGGGGCGAAAGGCCUAUCUACUAGGACGAGGAGCUUUUGAGUUUGAAGGUGGAGUGAGCUAAAGAAGAUGACGCAAACAGAUCAAGAAAAAUCCAGAAGGUCUUCAAUUCGGAAAGAAUGGGCAUGCUUGGUAAAAUUGGGCAUGAUUGAAGGAUUAACCAAGGCUUGAGACUUUGGUAAAAAAGUCAAGAAUCUUGAAGAACAAGGUUAUGGAUAAUGUUGUAAUUAGGGUUAGGGCUAGUAGUGUUGACUUUGUUCAACUGGUUGACCAAAAAGUCAACAGUUGACCAAAGUCACCUGUAGGUCAAAGUUGUAUUUUUGUGUGUAGAACUUGUAAUGGGAUAUUUGAUGAUUUGUAAUGCAAAUGGAUGUUUGAUAAUAAAAUGGUCUUGAAUGAUUUAUGUCGUGUA